ACGGAGACGCCAAAGAAAUAUUAAAACGAGUGUCACAUACUGUGUGUGAACAUGGCACACGGUCCUGCUACAUGACUGUUCAUUCUUACCCUGGUAACUCUUUAACACAGUACGACUCCCUUUAUGCCGGACUUUGCACCUGUUCGUUGAAGAGCCAGUUUUGUCAUCACCGGUACCUGCUGGCACUCUGACACUGCGCACGAUAAUCUGUGAAAGCUUCCUGGGUUGCUAUGAGAAGAGACUGUGGACCUACCCCUCUCUUGUCAUUGGGCCACUGUAAUACCUUGCAGCCAAUAAAGCACCACUAGGGCCUGUGUA